rnacentral:rRNA from 1 species
CCUACGGGGGGCAGCAGUGGGGAAUAUUGGGCAAUGGGCGCAAGCCUGACCCAGCAACGCCGCGUGAAGGAAGAAGGCUCUCGGGUUGUAAACUUCUUUUAUCAGGGACGAAGCAAGUGACGGUCCCUGAUGACUAAGCCACGGCUAACUACGUGCCAGCAGCCGCGGUAAUACGUAGGUGGCAAGCGUUAUCCGGAUUUACUGGGUGUAAGGGGCGUGUAGGCGGGAAAGCAAGUCAGAUGUGAAAACCAUGGGCUCAACCUGUGGCCUGCAUUUGAAACUGUUUUUCUUGAGUACUGGAGAGGCAGACGGAAUUCCUAGUGUAGCGGUGAAAUGCGUAGAUAUUAGGAGGAACACCAGUGGCGAAGGCGGUCUGCUGGACAGCAACUGACGCUGAGGCGCGAAAGCGUGGGGAGCAAACAGGAUUAGAUACCCUGGUAGUC